rnacentral:lncRNA from 1 species
UCAGAAGGAAAGGGCAAGAAGAUGGUUUUUGACUGCCUAUGUCAACUUGCUCUCCUCUGUUCUGAGCACUGCCAGUUUCCAGAAGGUCUUUCCUCCUAGCCUGGAGUUGCAGCAGAAAACGGCAGUCAGGCCUAGGAAAAUACUGCAAGAGCUGGGAAGAAGUUCAACGAUGGUCUAAUUUCCACCACGGAGCCAGUCUCUUUGCUCAGAGGAGCAGGAAAUCGCUACCUGUCACAGAUGGUGAGAGAAGACAAGGCGAGCAGGAACAAAGUGGAGAGGGAAGUUUGAGUGAGUUUCUGAGCAACCUGUUAGAUUCACAAUUAGGGCAAGAAUACUACUAAUUUGGCAACAUUGCUAAUCAGAAAUUUGACUCCUGUUGAGUGGAAAUGUGUGUGCCUAAGGAAGAGUUAAGUCGCUAUAGGUAACCGAGUCAGUAAGAGUCGUCCCCACGGCAGAGCUGGGCUGAUCUGAAGCAAGUGGAUGCCUACAGUUACUUGCCUUAUAUGAGUAUAGUGUUCUAAGUUUGAUAGUAACAUAUCAUGUUUCUCCAAGAGCAGGCUGUGUCUCGCAAACUUCAUCUAACUAAUUCUCCUGGCAUUCCUGGAAAGCAGAACAUGAAUGGGAAACUGAUCUGUUCUUAUGUAUCUGGCAAAGUUCAUGAUUUCCUAACAGGAAAAUGUGAAUGUCCCUGCAAAAAACUCCAAAAAACAAAAAGUAACGAUACUGCAAAGGGAAAGAAAAUGGAGCACAGAGUGGCCAAGUGA